rnacentral:rRNA from 1 species
UAGCUAGUUGGUGGGGUAAGGGCCUACCAAGGCGACGAUCGGUAGCUGGUCUGAGAGGAUGACCAGCCACACUGGAACUGAGACACGGUCCAGACUCCUACGGGAGGCAGCAGUGGGGAAUAUUGGACAAUGGGGGCAACCCUGAUCCAGCAAUGCCGCGUGUGUGAAGAAGGCCUGAGGGUUGUAAAGCACUUUCAGUGGGGGGGAGGGUUGAUAGGUUAAGAGCUGAUUAACUGGACGUUACCCACAGAAGAAGCACCGGCUAACUCCGUGCCAGCAGCCGCGGUAAUACGGAGGGUGCGAGCGUUAAUCGGAAUUACUGGGCGUAAAGGGUGCGUAGGUGGUUGAUUAAGUUAUCUGUGAAAUUCCUGGGCUUAACCUGGGACGGUCAGAUAAUACUGGUUGACUCGAGUAUGGGAGAGGGUAGUGGAAUUUCCGGUGUAGCGGUGAAAUGCGUAGAGAUCGGAAGGAACACCAGUGGCGAAGGCGGCUACCUGGCCUAAUACUGACACUGAGGCACGAAAGCGUGGGGAGCAAACAGGAUUAGAUACCCUGGUAGUCCACGCUGUAAACGAUGUCAACUAGCUGUUGGUUAUAUGAAAAUAAUUAGUGGCGC